rnacentral:sRNA from 1 species
AUAAAAUCCGGUCGGCGACGAGACUU